GAGACUUCCGAUUCUAAGGGAUGAUUAUUUGGAUGCAUAUUUCCAGCUCCUUCCUUCGGAUCCUUAUUUUUUCCUUUCCACGGUGGCAUCCAUCAAUCUAAGGAAAUUUAGCGCCCACUGAGACCAAAGUCCAUGUGGUCAGACACAAAAGAGCCAUCGAUUGCUGAACCUGUUCACGCCUACCUUCAAAGGCACAAAAAGAACACAGGAAGUCAAUAUAAAGCAGAUGUCCUAUCUGCAAAAUGCUUACAGAUGAUAAGUGAGAAGUGGG
ensembl:lincRNA